rnacentral:rRNA from 1 species
AGAAUCAACGCUGGCGGCGUGCCUAACACAUGCAAGUCGCACGAGAAAGGGACUUCGGUCCUGAGUACAGUGGCGCACGGGUGAGUAACACGUGAAUAAUCUACCUCCGAGUGGGGAAUAACUGAGAGAAAUCUUAGCUAAUACCGCAUAACACUUACGAGUCAAAGCAGCAAUGCGCUUGGAGAGGAGUUCGCGGCAGAUUAGUUAGUUGGCGGGGUAAUGGCCCACCAAGACGAUGAUCUGUAUCCGGCCUGAGAGGGCGCACGGACACACUGGAACUGAAACACGGUCCAGACUCCUACGGGAGGCAGCAGUGGGGAAUUUUUGCGCAAUGGGGGAAACCCUGACGCAGCAACGCCGCGUGGAGGAUGAAAUCCCUUGGGAUGUAAACUCCUUUCGAUAGGGAAGAUAAUGACGGUACCUAUAGAAGAAGCCCCGGCUAACUUCGUGCCAGCAGCCGC